rnacentral:tRNA from 1 species
GCCUUGAUGGUGUAGUGGUCAAGACGCUCGCCUGGUAAACAAGAGGGCAUGGGUUCAAUCCCAGCUAUGGCA